AUAAAACCAAGUAGCCCCUACAAGCAGCUUACCAACUGACCGAGCGACUGCCUCAUUAUCGCUUGUCCUCCACCCAUUAGAGCUAAGAUCUUCUAGACAGAACUUAAAAAUGUUUAUUGCAGUGAUAACAGUCUCCAAGUGCUAGCAUGCGACCAAUACGAAGCCUCUAAAAUUGCGCAAUAGAUUCAUUCGUGGGGAAACUUCU
rnacentral:lncRNA from 1 species